UGGGGAAUAUUGCACAAUGGGCGGAAGCCUGAUGCAGCGACGCCGCGUGAGGGAUGAGGCCUUCGGGUUGUAAACCUCUUUCAGUAGGGACGAAGCGUAAGUGACGGUACCUGCAGAAGAAGCACCGGCUAACUACGUGCCAGCAGCCGCGGUAAUACGUAGGGUGCGAGCGUUGUCCGGAAUUACUGGGCGUAAAGAGCUCGUAGGCGGUUUGUCACGUCGUCUGUGAAAUCCUAGGGCUUAACCCUGGACGUGCAGGCGAUACGGGCUGACUUGAGUACUACAGGGGAGACUGGAAUUUCUGGUGUAGCGGUGGAAUGCACAGAUAUCAGGAAGAACACCGAUGGCGAAGGCAGGUCUCUGGGUAGUAACUGACGCUGAGGAGCGAAAGCAUGGGUAGCGAACAGG
rnacentral:rRNA from 1 species